rnacentral:rRNA from 1 species
GGCGAACGCUGGCGGCGUGCCUAACACAUGCAAGUCGAACGCAGUGGGGAUGGGUGAGUAACACGUGGGUAACCUCCCAUCAGAGGGGAGAACACUUGGAAACAGGUGCUAAACCGAUACUGAUGGAUGGACCCGGGGGGCAUUAGCUAGUUGGUGAGGUAACGGCUCACCAAGGCCACGAUGCAUAGCCGGCCGGAGAGGUUGAUCUGCCACACUGGGACUGAGCCACGGCCCAGACUCCUACGGGAGGCAGCAGUAGGGAAUCUUCGACAAUGGACGAAAGUCUGACCGAGCAACGCCGCGUGAGUGAAGAAGCUUUUCGGAUCGUAAAGCACUGUUGUUGGCGACGCGGUAUCUGAACAGGAAGCCACAGCUAGCUCCGUGCCAGCAGCCGCGGUAAUAC